rnacentral:tRNA from 1 species
GCCAGGAUGGUCUAAUCGGUUAAGGCGUCGCCCCUCAGGCGAAGGUUGCGGGUUCAAUCCCCGCUCCUGGCC